rnacentral:rRNA from 1 species
GCGCUAACCCGCAAGGAGGCAGCGGCCCAAGGUACUGAUUCAUGAUUGGGGUG